GAUGAACGCUGGCGGCGUGCCUAAUACAUGCAAGUCGAGCGAACAGACGAGGAGCUUGCUCCUCUGACGUUAGCGGCGGACGGGUGAGUAACACGUGGAUAACCUACCUAUAAGACUGGGAUAACUUCGGGACACCGGAGCUAAUACCGGAUAAUAUAUUGAACCGCAUGGUUCAAUAGUGAAAGACGGUUUUGCUGUCACUUAUAGAUGGAUCCGCGCCGCAUUAGCUAGUUGGUAAGGUAACGGCUUACCAAGGCAACGAUGCGUAGCCGACCUGAGAGGGGGAUCGGCCACACUGGAACUGAGACACGGUCCAGACUCCUACGGGAGGCAGCAGUAGGGAAUCUUCCGCAAUGGGCGAAAGCCUGACGGAGCAACGCCGCGUGAGUGAUGAAGGUCUUCGGAUCGUAAAACUCUGUUAUUAGGGAAGAACAAAUGUGUAAGUAACUAUGCACGUCUUGACGGUACCUAAUCAGAAAGCCACGGCUAACUACGUG
rnacentral:rRNA from 1 species